UAGGGAAUCUUCGGCAAUGGACGAAAGUCUGACCGAGCAACGCCGCGUGAGUGAAGAAGGUUUUCGGAUCGUAAAACUCUGUUGUUAGAGAAGAACAAGGACGUUAGUAACUGAACGUCCCCUGACGGUAUCUAACCAGAAAGCCACGGCUAACUACGUGCCAGCAGCCGCGGUAAUACGUAGGUGGCAAGCGUUGUCCGGAUUUAUUGGGCGUAAAGCGAGCGCAGGCGGUUUCUUAAGUCUGAUGUGAAAGCCCCCGGCUCAACCGGGGAGGGCCAUUGGAAACUGGGAGACAUGAGUGCAGAAGAGGAGAGUGGAAUUCCAUGUGUAGCGGUGAAAUGCGUAGAUAUAUGGCGGAACACCAGUGGCGAAGGCGGCUCUCUGGUCUGUAACUGACGCUGAGGCUCGAAAGCGUGGGGAGCAAACAGG
rnacentral:rRNA from 1 species